UACGAACCGUCCAAACGUUAUUCGGAAUCACUGGGCUUACAGAGUUCGUAGGCGGCGCGGUAAGUAGGGUGUGAAAGCCCUCGGCUCAACCGAGGAAUUGCGCUCUAAACUGUCGCGCUGGAGGAGGAUAGAGGUGAGCGGAACUGAUGGUGGAGCGGUGAAAUGCGUUGAUAUCAUCAGGAACACCGGAGGCGAAGGCGGCUCACUGGGUCCUUUCUGACGCUGAGGAACGAAAGCUAGGGGAGCGAAC
rnacentral:rRNA from 1 species